rnacentral:snRNA from 1 species
GUGCUCGCUGCGGCAGCACGGGGACUAAAGUUGGAACAAUACGGAGAAGGUCGUGGCCCCUGCGUAAGACUGACAUGCAGAUUGUGAUGUGCUCCAUAUGCUU